CCUACGGGAGGCAGCAGUGGGGAAUAUUGGGCAAUGGGCGCAAGCCUGACCCAGCAACGCCGCGUGAAGGAAGAAGGCUUUCGGGUUGUAAACUUCUUUUCUCAGGGACGAAGCAAGUGGCGGUACCUGAGGAAUAAGCCACGGCUAACUACGUGCCAGCAGCCGCGGUAAUACGUAGGUGGCAAGCGUUAUCCGGAUUUACUGGGUGUAAAGGGCGUGUAGGCGGGAAAGCAAGUCAGAUGUGAAAACCAUGGGCUCAACCUGUGGCCUGCCUUUGAAACUGGUUUUCUUGAGUACUGGGGAGGCAGGCGGAAUUCCUGGUGUAGCGGUGAAAUGCGUAGAUAUUAGGAGGAACCCCAGUGGCGAAGGCGGUCUGCUGGACAGCAACUGACGCUGAGGCGCGAAAGCGUGGGGAGCAAACAGGAUUAGAUACCCGGGUAGUC
rnacentral:rRNA from 1 species